rnacentral:rRNA from 1 species
GAUAAACGCUGGCGGCGUGCUUAACACAUGCAAGUCGAACGAAGUUUUUCCUUCGGGAGAAACUUAGUGGCGGACGGGUGAGUAACGCGUGGGUAACCUGCCCUGUACAGGGGGACAACAGCUGGAAACGGCUGCUAAUACCGCAUAAGCCCUUAGCACUGCAUGGUGCAUAGGGAAAAGGAGCAAUCCGGUACAGGAUGGACCCGCGUCUGAUUAGCCAGUUGGCAGGGUAACGGCCUACCAAAGCGACGAUCAGUAGCCGAUCUGAGAGGAUGUACGGCCACAUUGGGACUGAGACACGGCCCAGACUCCCACGGGAGGCAGCAGUGGGGAAUAUUGCACAAUGGAGGAAACUCUGAUGCAGCGACGCCGCGUGAGUGAAGAAGUAUUUCGGUAUGUAAAGCUCUAUCGGCAGGGAAGAAAAUGACGGUACCUGACUAAGAAGCACCGGCUAAAUACGUG